rnacentral:rRNA from 1 species
UACGAAGGGGGCUAGCGUUGUUCGGAAUUACUGGGCGUAAAGCGCACGUAGGCGGAUCGAUCAGUCAGGGGUGAAAUCCCAGGGCUCAACCCUGGAACUGCCUUUGAUACUGUCGAUCUGGAGUAUGGAAGAGGUGAGUGGAAUUCCGAGUGUAGAGGUGAAAUUCGUAGAUAUUCGCAAGAACACCAGUGGCGAAGGCGGCUCACUGGUCCGGUUCUGACGCUGAGGCGCGAAAGCGGUGGGGAGCAAACAGGG